UCCUUGCUUAUAAAUUAUAACCAAAGAAAAUAAGUUAGAAAAUUACUUAUUUUCCGGAAAAAUAUUUGGUUUUGUGGAAAAUAUUUUCCUUCAAACCAAAUACAUGUUAUUUGGUACGAAGGAAAAUAAUACUUUUCAACUUUUUCAAGUUUAAUUGGUCAAUAUUUUUGAAUUUCUUAAGAAAACAAAUUUGUUAGUAAUGAUACAAAUGAC
rnacentral:lncRNA from 1 species